rnacentral:rRNA from 1 species
UACGUAGGGUGCAAGCGUUGUCCGGAAUUAUUGGGCGUAAAGAGCUCGUAGGCGGUCUGUCGCGUCUGCUGUGAAAACUCGGGGCUUAACCCCGGGCCUGCAGUGGGUACGGGCAGACUAGAGUGCGGUAGGGGAGACUGGAAUUCCUGGUGUAGCGGUGAAAUGCGCAGAUAUCAGGAGGAACACCGGUGGCGAAGGCGGGUCUCUGGGCCGUAACUGACGCUGAGGAGCGAAAGCUAGGGGAGCAAACAGG